GGCGAACGCUGGCGGCAGGCUUAACACAUGCAAGUCGAGCGGGCACUUCGGUGUCAGCGGCAGACGGGUGAGUAACACGUGGGAACGUGCUCUUCGGUUCGGAAUAACUCAGGGAAACUUGAGCUAAUACCGGAUACGCCCUUUUGGGGAAAGGUUUACUGCCGAAGGAUCGGCCCGCGUCUGAUUAGCUAGUUGGUGGGGUAAUGGCCUACCAAGGCGACGAUCAGUAGCUGGUCUGAGAGGAUGAUCAGCCACACUGGGACUGAGACACGGCCCAGACUCCUACGGGAGGCAGCAGUGGGGAAUAUUGGACAAUGGGCGCAAGCCUGAUCCAGCCAUGCCGCGUGAGUGAUGAAGGCCUUAGGGUUGUAAAGCUCUUUCGACGGGGACGAUAAUGACGGUACCCGUAGAAGAAGCCCCGCUAACUUCGUGCCAGCAGCCGCAGUAAG
rnacentral:rRNA from 1 species